ensembl:lncRNA
GUCUCCGUGGGGGCUCCAAAGGGGGCUGGCUAACUUCUUUGCUGACCUCCACCUUUCUUUCUGCCUGUUGAAUCUGGGUCCCUCUUGGGUCUACAUGUCAGUGACAGAGUAAUUUCUCUGGAAAGCAAUUACUUCUCAGUCCCCUUCUCGGUCUUUCUGACGGGGUUUGGUACAGGCCCAAACCUCAGGGCCCGUAUGUCUCCUGUAUAGGUGUUGGGAGAGAGAAUGAGAAGCCGCGUACAGGGGGUGAGAGGGCGCCCCAAUUUUGGCCAUGACUAUCUACUCUUGCUCUCACAGAAUUUCCUCUUGGCUAAGCUUUCUUCUAUGUUUGCAUGACUGAAGUUUCAGUCUAAAAGCCAGUCAGGUCAAUCAGCGCUGUGGUUGUCUCUCAAUUGUUUGUAGACGUGGAGGGGCAAAGAGGGCGAGUACCUGGCUCCUGUCUCUGAUCAGGACACACCCGGGUCAGAAAGAUGAGGUCUGUCCGGUUCUGCAAGGGUGUUAUUUGAAGAAUGAAAGGGGACGACUUCGUCUGGUACUCAGAGAAGCCCAAUCAUUCAUAGAGCUGCAGGAGCUGCUGAAAAACAUUGAAAUGCCAACAGAAUGUUGAAAGCAAAGUCUUCAGAGAUUUCCCAUCAUCCAAAAUUCAGGAGACAUUAAGCUCCAUUGAGCCAAUGGAUUCAUUGAUUCCAUCUAUUCGACUACCAAAGUUAGAAUCAAAUAAAAGCAAAUGCAAAUAAAAAGCACCCUUGUCAGCAGUCACGUUUGGUCGGAAGAUCAGCUUUGCUGCAUCCGAAAGGUCACUGCCCAGAGGAGCACACUUUGGACCCUGACAAGCAACGUGCCAUGAAUUGACUUGGAGGCACAGCUGACACUUGUAAAUCCCACCCCCAGCCCGGCCGUCAGCUCAUCCCACCUCAUCAUGCCUCUCAGAUACGCUCACAGCCCAGAUUUUCAAGUACCAGACCUCACAGGAAGAGGCCAAUCAUCCGCAUGUAGAAGUCUGUGUUAAAUGAAAUACAGGAUCAAGCCAAGGAGCCUGAGUUAGGGACUGGUGUUGACAGCUCCUCAUUCCCGCCACUUACUAAUUUUAUUUCCCUCCUCAGCUGGUGUCAUUGCCUAAAAACCUUUUAAGCACAGGUUUUCAUAUUCUGUGAUUUAACUCUUUAGGACCUUCUGUAACAGGGGAACUAAUGACCUCUUCUCUAUGAACAUUUUAAAUUGAGCUUAUUCUUAUGGAAAUUUGAUCUUUAGUGGUUUUAUCAGAGUGAUUUUGUUUAAAGCUGGGUAUAAACCUAGGUAUUCUAACCCUGAGUUUACCACGGACAGUUGAAGAUUAGACUUGUAACAAAAGACACAGGUAUUUAUUUUGAAGUUGCCUUCUCUCCUGGACUUUACAGUUGGGGUGUGUGUGUGUGUGUGUGUGUGUGUGUGUGUGUAUUUUGAGAACGUUUUACUGCUAUACCCUCUCUUUCUCUCAUGGGUUGGUUAAAUAUCUGUGUUUUCAGAGUAAGCAGAGGACAGAAAGCAGAAAGAAUUUGAAAUUACAAAUUAAACUAGUUGUGCUAGAAGUAAAAUGUUACUAAGUGAAGAGCUGAUGGGUUGGAACCCUCAUUGACAAUCGUUCCUAUUUUUAUAUCUAGCAAAUUUUAAUUGAAGUAUAGUUAGUUUGCAAUGCUGUGCUAAUUUCUGGUAUAUAUAUAUAUAGCAAAGUGAGUCAGUUUUUUAUAUAUAUAUAUUUCUUUUUCCUAUUAUUUUCCAUUAUGGUUUAUUACAGGAUAUUGAAUAUAGUCCCCUCUUCUGUACAGUAGGGCCUUGUUGAUUAUUUUAUAUAUAGUAGUUUGUAUCUUCUGAUCUCGCACUCCUAAUUUACCCCUCCCCAACCCCAUUUCCCUUUGCUCACCUUCAGUUUGUUUUCUAUGACUGUGAAACUGUUAUUUUUUCUUAAAUAAGUUCAUUUGUGUUGUAUU